AGCAACUAUCUAUUUUGAUGCAACCUUUGACAACAAAUAUUCAAGAUCGACUUCGGGUAUGGUGGUGAGGGGGGAGAUGGACGAGUUUCUUGCCUCAAAAUCAGUACUCCACUCCACAAUAUCGUCCCCGUUCAUAGCGAAGGCAUAUGCAGGAUUACAAGCAGUAAAGUUAGGGAUCUCACUGGGUUUUCAAUCAAUUACCAUAAUAGGAGAUUCAAAAACAGUUAUAAAAAAAUGCAACUCAACAGCAACAGACAAGUCAGUGAUAGGGGCGGUCAUCCAAUAUAUCCAAAGAAAGAAACAAUUUUUUCAAGAAAGCCAUUUCCAGUUUAUUCACAAAUCAGAGAAUCGUCAAGCUCAUGAACUUGCAACAGAAGCCUUAAAAACGGGAGAAGAAACAUACCUGGAGGAUGUAGCCUUCAUUUGCCAUCAGCGAGGAAGAGAGGAAAGAUGGUUGAGAAACCCGGACUGAAGGAAAUCUAGAGAAAUCUAAAGAGGAAGGGAUAACAGAAAUGAAAUCUCCUUGGGAAACUGCUAUUGUUUUGAAC
rnacentral:lncRNA from 1 species